CCUGAGCCACUGGGUGUGUGGGGAAGUCAUUCCUGCGAUGAAGAACAAGGGACACAGAUAUCUUUAAUUCACACAAGAUUAUGAGCCAGCCUGAACUGGAAGAUCAUUUACUAUAAAUAUUGCUGUCGUUCAAAGACUCUUAAAAUCAUGGCAUGUUAGGGCUGCAAGAGACCUUAAGAAAUCAUCCAUCCCGACCCCGUCACUUUACAGAUUCCUCGGAGAUAAAAGGCAAGUUGCUAAAUUCAACACACAAGGCUUCUCUGUCUGCCUCCUACCUGAUCACUCCAGCCUGAGCUCUUCUGUACACAGCCCAUCUUCCCACUCUCCCACAGGGAGGGAGAAGGGAGAAGCAGGUAAGGAAAAUGAUUUCACUAUCAAAUCUUUCCUCUCUAAAGCCCCAGGCUGAUACCCAAUUCAAGAAGAGUAGCACCACGUGAGACACUGUCAGCAAUUAUACAUCCUCGCUACUCCUCAUAAUCCACCCCAAAAAUGCAGAAUGAUGCCCCAACGUGCAAAUUCAUGCAAAUACUCCUAGUCUUCUGGAUCUGUCCACCCACAGAAACACAAAUACAGACGAUAAGGGUAGAUGCUCAUCUCUCUGUGCCUUCUCACAAUUCUCCUUGAAAUCCUCUCACGUGGACACGUGAAGUCACAAACAUCCAAACCAGGGGAAGUAGGUUAACUUCUGUGGCUUGGGGAGUGAGAGAAUGCACAGAAGAGGUAGGAAAGAAUGGUGGAAGGUUGAGAGUAAGUGGAAGAAGAAUGAAUGUAUGUAUUCACCAACGUCCCUAAGCCCCAAUAAUGGGCCACAGGUCAUGCUAAGCACUAAGGGUACCAAAAUCAAUAGUGGCUACAGUAAUAAAGCAGCAGCUAAUACUCCAACAGUGGCCACUAUAUAUACAAGGCACUACGUGUUAUAUCAACUUAUUUAGUACACAUAACAAUCCCACGAGAUAGAUAUUCUUACCCUUUAUUUAUAGAUGAUGCAACAAGGUCCAAGAAACCGACAUGUGUAGUGUUGCAUUGCUAAGAAGUGGCAGGAUCUGGAUUCCUUUCCAGGCAUCCGAUUCUAGAAUCUGUGUUCUUACCUACCUCCCAAUACAGCACCCUGCCCGUGAGUAGCUUGCAGACCACCAGGCACUCACAUGCUGGAGCUGGGGCUGUGUGUUCUCUCCUCGGAGAGGCAGCAUGGAAGAGAAGGCAGUGACAGGGACGAGUGGGAUGGCCACUGGCCUUGAAGUCAGACAGACCUAAGCCCAAGUUCUCUAUCUGCCACCCACUACCUAUGGAAACUUCAGCAAGUUAGGUUAUUAACCUCUCUGAGCAACAGUUUCCUCCCCCAGAAACAAAGGUGUGACUAUCUACUUGGUUCAGUUUUAUUGGAAUUAAAUGAGAUUCUGUAUACAAAAGUGCAAAGUACUGUGCUUGGCACAGAGUAAGCUCUCAAUAUAUCCCUUCCUCUUGCUAUCCCAAUACUUUCUCUCCAGCUCCCUAAACCUAAAGUUCUCCAGAAAUAUUAGAAGAACCACUGCACAGGGGAGUCUGGCUGGCUCAGUCGGAAGAGCAUGCAACUACUCUUGAUCUUGAGCCCAAUCAUGAGGGGGAAAAAUUCUGACAAGUUCCAACAGAGGAGCAUCCUACAAAACAUCUAGCCAGCAGUCCUCAAAACUGGCGAGGUCAUCACAAACAAUGAACGUCUGAAAAGCUGUCAUAGCCAAGAAGAACCCAAGGAGACAAAACAACUAAAUGUGAUGUCAUAUCCUGAAUGGGACCCUGGAACAGAAAAAGGACAUCAGAUAAAAAUUAAGGAAAUCUGAAUAAAAAUGUGGAGUUAAUAUAGUUAUUAAUAUUGUUUCAUUAGUCGAAAAUGUCCCCCACUAAUAUGAAUAGGGGAAACUGCGCAGGGGCUAUUCAAGAACUCUGUGCUAUCAGCUCAGGUCUUCUUUAAAAUCUAUCCUAGGGGCGCCUGGGUGGCGCAG